rnacentral:rRNA from 1 species
AUACGGAAGGUCCGAGCGUUAUCCGGAAUUAUUGGGUUUAAAGGGAGCGUAGGUGGCUUAGUGAAGCUUGCCGUGAAAUGUCCCCGCUUAACGGGGGAGUUGCGGUGAGAACUCGCAGGCUAGAAUAUAUGGAGUGCACAUGGAAUUCGUGGUGUAGCGGUGAAAUGCAUAGAUAUCACGAAGAACUCCGAAAGCGUAAGCAUUGUGCAUCCGUAUGAUUGACACUGAGGCUCGAAGGUGCGGGUAUCGAACAGGAUUAGAUACCCUGGUAGUCCGCACAGUAAACGAUGGAUGCUCGACGUGCGUUCCGUUAAAGGAGUGCGUGUCCAAGCGAAAGCGUUAAGCAUCCCACCUGGGGAGUACGCCGGCAACGGUGAA